GACGAACGCUGGCGGCGUGCCUAAUACAUGCAAGUAGAACGCACAGUUUAUACCGUAGCUUGCUACACCAUAGACUGUGAGUUGCGAACGGGUGAGUAACGCGUAGGUAACCUGCCUGGUAGCGGGGGAUAACUAUUGGAAACGAUAGCUAAUACCGCAUAAUAUUAAUUAUUGCAUGAUAAUCAAUUGAAAGGUGCAAUUGCACCACUACCAGAUGGACCUGCGUUGUAUUAGCUAGUAGGGGAGGUAACGGCUCACCUAGGCGACGAUACAUAGCCGACCUGGAAGGGUGGUCGGCCACACUGGGACUGAGACACGGCCCAGAAUCCUUAGGGGGGGCGCAGUAGGGAAUCUUCGGCAAUGGACGAAAGUCUGACCGAGCAACGCCGCGUGAGGGAAGAAGGGUUUCGGAUCGUAAAGCUCUGUUGUAAUAGAAGAAAGGGUGUGAGAGUGGAAAGUUCACACUGUGACGGUAUCUUACCAGAAAGGGACGGCUAACUACGUG
rnacentral:rRNA from 1 species